AACGAAUCCUUAGUAGAAAACGA
rnacentral:snRNA from 1 species